UGCAGUGGGACUGUUUCUUAGGAUCUCCCUACACCAUUUAAGAGUUUCUUUCUCCAAAUCUUCAAGCUGCACCAUAGUGUUAACUAAGCCCAUUUUCUCUGCUUCAGAGACACCGUAAAAUCUUGCCAAAAAUCACAUUUCACGUGCUUUUUUAGGACCGAUCUGAUCGAGCAGAAGAGAAGUUCUAGAAGUUAACGACAGACAUAAUAGAUU